rnacentral:rRNA from 1 species
AGAAUCAACGCUGGCGGCGUGCCUCAGACAUGCAAGUCGAACGCGAAAGUCUCCUUCGGGGGACAAGUAGAGUGGCGCACGGGUGAGUAACACGUAGGUAAUCUACCUUCGGAUGGGGAAUAACAACCGGAAACGGUUGCUAAUACCGCAUAAUGCAGCGGCACCUAAUGGUGACAGUUGUUAAAGCGGGGGAUCGAAAGACCUCGCGUCUGAAGAGGAGCCUGCGGCGGAUUAGCUAGUUGGUAGGGUAACGCCUACCAAGGCGACGAUCCGUA